rnacentral:rRNA from 1 species
AUUGAACGCUGGCGGCAUGCUUUACACAUGCAAGUCGAACGUCAGCGCUGGCUUCGGCCUGGCGGCUAGUGGCGAACGGGUGAGUCAUGCCUCGGAACGUGCCCCGUAGUGGGGGAUAGCCCGGCGCAAGCCGGAUUACUACCUCAUACGAUCUGACGGUGAACGCGGGGGACCGAAAGGCCUCGCGCUUUUGGAGCGGCCGGUGUCUGAUUAGCUAGUUGGUGGGGUAAAGGCUUACCAAGGCGUCGAUCCGUAGCUGGUCUGAGAGGACGACCAGCCACACGGGGACGGAGACACGGCCCAGACUACUACGGGAGGCAGCAGUGGGGAAUUUUGGACAAUGGGGGCAACCCUGAUCCAGCCAUGCCGCGUGCGGGAAGAAGGCCUUCGGGUUGUAAAACGCUUUUGUUCGGGAAGAAAUCCUCUGGGCUAAUACCCCGGGGGGAUGACGGUACCGGAAGAAUAAGCACCGGCUAACUACGUG